CCGCGGUGUGAGGGAGCGGGAGUCUUCCUUAGCUUCUCCGCCAUGGGUGUCGCUUCGUAGCCGGGCUGCUCCGGGAAAGGCCUCGUACAGCACGCAUUCACCAGAAUCCUGUCAGCUUUCCUCUUCUCAUCCAGACGCCUGGCCAGGAUCCUCGAUAAGACCGUGACCCCCAACUUGGACACCCCAUAAGCUUUGUUCUCAGAAACUUGGCGGCUACAAGGAAUUAAAUGUGAAUGGGAAAGGAAGAAAGAAAAACACAGAUCAUAGAAGCUGUGCCUUCGAGGAAAUAAAUCCUCUUAAGGGGAGGAGGUGUCCUCUUUGAUCUGAGGGCACACCUCUGGGAGAGAGGCCAGAGGCUGACAGUCAGCCUCGUCAGCCAGAUGCGUCAUCAGCCCUGGGAAGGGCUGCACCCACACCACCCUCCACUGAGGUCCAGGUGGCCCCACCGGUCCCGAAACACCUGCUGCCUUACUCUAGAAAGAGUAGGCAAGUUGCGCCCUCUAGUGGCUUAGUAGUUGCUUGUCCUAUUGACUCAGAACCUUGAACAAAUAAGCAAGUCAAAUACAGAUAGAUGGUCCCUGCCCUCUGAUGGUUCCACUUAGGACUUACUGACUUCACUGAUGGAUGAGGAAGCGAUAUGCAUUCUGCAGAAUCUGUACUUGGAGGCCCCAUACAACCAUUCUGCAUUUCACUUUCAGUACAGAUUCAAUAAAUUACAUAAGAUACUCAACAUUUUAUGAUAAAAUAGGCUUUGUGUUAGAUGACUUUGCCAGACUAUAGGCUAAUGUAAGCGUUCAAAGCACCUUGAAGCUAGACGAGGCUGACCUAUGGUGUUUGGUAGGUCAGAUGCGUUAAAUGCAUUUUUUUUUUUUUUUGAGACAAGGACUUGCUCUGUCGCCCAGGCUAGAGUACAGUGGCACAAUCAUAGCUCACUGCAGCCUCAACCUCCUGGGCCCAAGCGAUCCUCCCACCUCAGUCUCUCGAGAAGCUGGAACAUGCCACUAUGCCCAGCUAAUUUUUAAUUUUCAUUUUUUGUGUAGAGCUGGGGUCUCCAUAUGUUGCUCAGGAUUAAGUCCAUUCUUAUGAUAUUUUCUUUUCUUUCUUUCUUUCUUUUUUUUUUUUUUUUUUUGAGAUGGAGUGUGGCUCUGUCGCCCAGGCUGGAGUGCAGUGGCGCGAUCUGGGCUCACUGCAAGUUCCGCCUCCCGGGUUCAUGCCAUUCUCCUGCCUCAGCCUCCCGACUAGCUGGGACUACAGGUGCCCACCACCAUGCCUGGCUAAUUUUUUUGUAUUUUUAGUAGAGAUGGGGUUUCACCGUGUUAGCCAGGAUGGUCUCGAUCUCCUGACCUCGUGGUCUGCCUGCCUUGGCCUCCCAAAGUGCUAGGAUUACAGGUGUGAGCCACUGUGCCCGGCCACAAAAACUUCUUAACCUAAAAAGGUGAAUGGUGAGAAUUGCACUUGUACUCUUGUACUUGCUCAGUUUUUUAGUGGGAUGGGAUCAGAGAAAGCCUGCAGGGAGAACUGCAGGUGCUCUGGAAGGGGAUGGAGUUUUAAAGGUGUCUUAAUACCUUGCAGCUCUCAAGUUCCCAUUCAAAAAUUUAUCGGGAGAAAACUUCCCAACACUGGGUAAAAGACAUCCCUAUAAUGGCUGCGUCCCUAUAUAGCCACAAAAAAGAUAAAAGCUUUCUGACCAAACCUGGAGAGAGCCCCAGACAUAAGGAGUAAAAAAAGCAAAGUGGCAAACAUUGUAUGAAAUGUUACCUUCUGUGUAAAAAGGAGAGUUUUUAAAAUGUGCGUUUAUAUUGGCUCAGAUUUGCAUUUAGAAACUCCAUCCCCUUCAAAGCACCUGCAGUUCUCCCUGCAGGCUUUCUAUGAUCUCAUCCCACUCAGAAACUGACAGAGUACAAGUGCAACUCUCACCAUUCACCUUCUUAGGUUAAGAACUUUUUGCGUCUGAGUGCGGUGGCUCAAGCCUGUAAUCCUAGCAUUUUGGGAGGCCAAGGCGGGUGGAUCACCUGAGGUCAGGAAUUCGAGAUCAAGCUGGCCAACAUGGUGAAACCCUGUCUCUACUAGAAAUACAAAAAAAUUAGCUGGGCGUGGUGGUGCUCGCCUGUAAACCCAGCUACUUGAGAGGCUGGGGCGGAGAAUCUCUCGUACCUGAGAGGCGGAGGUUGCAGCGAGCUGAGCUCAUGCCACUGCACUCCAGUCUGGGCGACGGAGGGAGACUCUGUCUCAGAAAAAAAAAAAAAAAAAAAAAAGGUUUUGCAUCCAGAGAUAAUUUUGUUUGUUUGUUUAAAGUGAUGAGGGUCUUGCCAUAUUUUUCAGCCUGGUCUUAAACUCGUGGGCUCAAGUGAUCCUCCUGCCUCAACCUCCCAAAGUGCUGAGAUUACAGGCAUGAGCCACCACACCCGGCCAAUAAUCCAUAUUCGAAAUGUUAAAUUAAGAAAAGCACACUUCUGGCCAGGUGCAGUAGCUCACACCUGUAAUCCCAGCACUUUGGGAGGCUGAGGCAGAUGAAUCACUUGAGGUCAGGAGUUCGAGACCAGCCUGGCCAACAUGGCAAAGCCCUGUCUCUACUAAAAAUAUAAAAAUUAGCCGGGCGUAGCGGCACACGCCUGUAGUCCCAGCUACUCAGGAGGCUAAGGCAGGAGAAUCCCUUGAACCCAGAAGGUGGAGGUUGCAGUGAGCUGAGAUCCUGUCACUGCACUCCAGCCUGGGCAACAGAGCGAAACUCUGUCAAAAAAAAAAAAAAAAAAAGAAAAAGCAAGCACAUUUUUAAUAAAAACCACAGUUCUAAGAAUCCACAGUUAACUUCUUGGGGAAUAAAAUCCUCAAGGAAGCAAGCUUCCCUGUACCCCAGCACAGCUGUCAUUUCACACUUCAGAUUCUUUGCUAAUGGAUAUCUCCCCCACUAGAGUUUCAGCUCCACCAAUGAGAUGGUCCCUGUCUAUAAUGCUCACCAUUGCACACCCAGAUCCCAGCAUAAUGCCUGGAAUAUGGCAGGCACUCCAAUGUUUGUAGGAAAAGUAUAAUAGUAACAUUUAUUGAAUACCUGCAGGUAUAGGCAAGACAUUUCCUAAUAAAGAAAAUUUCUCGUUCGGGCAUGGUGGCUCACACCUGUAAUCCCAGCAUUUUGGGAGGCAGAGGUGGGUGGAUCACUUGAGGUCAGGAGUUUGAGACCAGCCUGGCCAACAUAGUGAAAUCCCAUCUGUACUAAAAAUACAAAAUGAGCUGGGCGUGGUGGUGCACACCUGUAAUCCCAGCUACUCCAGAGGCUGAGACAGGAGAAUCGCUUGAACCUGGGAGGCGGAGACUACAGUGAGCCGAAAUUGUGCCACUGUACUCUAGCCUGGAUGACAGAGCGAGACUCUGUCUCAAAAAAAAAAAAAAAAAAAGAAAAGAAAAAAAAAGAAAAGAAAAUUUCUUUUGGGUUUUCUGAAUCAACUUGAGAAAGUAUGGUAUAAGAAGAAAGGAAUAUAGGAAAAGUUGUAAUGCUAAAACAGAUACCAAGGUCCAGAGAUGAGCUAGAUGUGGGCCCAUCACCUUGGAGGGCUGGAGGACUCAUGAGAUUGACCAGAGGCAAGCGGCCUUUGGGGACUCACAGCAUUCUAUCAUUCUAGGAUUGAGUUCAUGACAUGGAUCCCAAAAGCAUUGUGAUAUGUCACACUUAUCUUUGGAACUUAAAGCUAAGGCUGGGCAUAGUGGCUCACGCCUGUAAUUCUAACACUUUGGGAGGCCAAGGUGGGUGGAUCACCUGAAGGUCAGGAGUUCAGGACUAGCCUGGCCAACAUGGUGAAACCACGUCUCUACUAAAAAUAUAAAAAAUUAGCCGGGUGUGGUAGUGGGUGCCUGUAGUCCCAGCUACUUGGGAGGCUGAG
rnacentral:lncRNA from 1 species